rnacentral:misc_RNA from 1 species
AAAAAAAUGAAUUGUGUGCGCCACAAAAUAUAAUUUGUAUACUGCUAUCCAAAUUGGCAUACCAACUAUGAUAUCCUCUAUGUAUCUUAUAUUUAACUAAGUGGCGUUCCAUGCAACCUUAUCCAUACCACAUGCCGAGGGGUACCACCAAUUAACUAUGAGUUGAUUGUUCAGUCAGUGAAUCGUUUUUUUACAUUCACCAAAUAAAUUAUGCAAUUGAUAUCUAAAAUUUCAUGGAGAUGUAUUUACUGAUGAAUCAUUUUGGAGAGCAUUGAGAUUUUGUUGUCUUGUAGUUGUCAUAUGCUAUAGGGAUGGAGACACUUCUUUUCUAGUUUCAUUCCCUCUGUCCAUUUCUUCAUAUAAUCUCCUAGUUAUACUUUUGCUAUUUUGUUUCUCUAUUCUUAUAUGGUCUCACUUUAAUUCUAACGACUAACAUACAGAAGCAAAUGCAUGUUUCAUUUGUUAAAGUGAUUUAGAAAUGAUGAAUGUUGUCCGCUUCUAUGACCUCCUUCUAGAUGACUGCAUAUUGUCUAUGGAUAUUAGUGGGCUAUGCUCAUGUUUCUUUUAGCAAUACAUUGAUAUGCAUGGGAAAUUCAGUUGGAAAUGCCCAAAGACGUAUCCUCAAGUUAAUGUUCUUGUGUGGUUGGGUCAACAAAGACAAAUUUACCAUUAAUUUCAUGCAUUCAUUUUUAGAAAUAUGCGAUCUGAUUUGGGUAAAGAAUUUGAUAAGAAUAGCGGGAACUUUGGAGCAAACUUUGUCAUGUGGUGGUGAUGGAUACUUAAGAAAUAGAGGACUAGUUGGUGUGAU